rnacentral:rRNA from 1 species
AUUGAACGCUGGCGGCAGGCCUAACACAUGCAAGUCGAGCGGAUGAAGGGUGCUUGCUCCUGGAUUCAGCGGCGGACGGGUGAGUAAUGCCCAUGAAUCUGCCUGGCAGUGGGGGAUAACGUCCGGAAACGGGUGCUAAUACUGCAUACGUCCUGAGGGAGCAAGUGGGGGAUCUUCGGACCUCUCGCUAUCAGAUGAGCCUAGGUCGGAUUGGCUAGUUGGUGGGGUAAAGGCCUACUAAGGCGACGAUCCGUAACUGGUCUGAGAGGAUGAUCAGUCACACUGGAACUGAGACGCGGUCCAGAGUCCUGCGGGAGGGAGCAGUGGGGAAUGUUGGACAAUGGGCGAAAGCCUUAUCCAACCGUGCGACGUGUGUGAAGAAGAUCUUCGGAUUGUGAAGCACUUUAAGUGGGGAGGAAGGGCAGUAAGUUAAUACCUUGCGGUUGUGACGGUACCGACAAAAGAAGCACCGGCUAACUUCGUG